rnacentral:rRNA from 1 species
GGGAAAGGCGAAAAGAACCCCUGUGAGGGGAGUGAAAUAGAACCUGAAACCGUGUACGUACAAGCAGUAGGAGCACCUUCGUGGUGUGACUGCGUACCUUUUGUAUAAUGGGUCAGCGACUUAUAUUCAGUGGCAAGGUUAACCGUAUAGGGGAGCCGUAGCGAAAGCGAGUCUUAACUGGGCGCUCAGUCUCUGGAUAUAGACCCGAAACCGGGUGAUCUAGCCAUGGGCAGGUUGAAGGUUGAGUAACAUCAACUGGAGGACCGAACCGACUAAUGUUGAAAAAUUAGCGGAUGACUUGUGGCUAGGGGUGAAAGGCCAAUCAAACUCGGAGAUAGCUGGUUCUCCCCGAAAGCUAUUUAGGUAGCGCCUCGGACGAAUACUACUGGGGGUAGAGCACUGUUAAGGCUAGGGGGUCAUCCCGACUUACCAACCCUUUGCAAACUCCGAAUAC